GAUGAAGAACGUAGCGAAAUGCGAUAAGUAAUGCGAAUUGCAGAAUCCGUGAGUCAUCGAAUCUUUGAACGCACCUUGCGCCCCUUGGUUAUUCCAAAGGGCAUGCCUGUUUGAGUAUCAUGAACACCUCAACUCUUGUGGUUUCCCACAAUGAGCUUGGACUGUGGAGGUUUUGUUGGCCCUGUGGUCAGCUCCUCUCAAAUGGAUCAGCUUACCGGUGUUUGGUGGCAUUACGGGUGUGAUAACUAUCUACGCUCGUGGUCGUCUCCAAAUAACCUCCAGUGAUGGAGGUUCGCUGGAGCUUAUAAAUGUCUCUCCCCAGUGAAGACAGCCUUUGAACGUUCGAUCUCAAAUCAGGUAGGACUACCCGCUGAACUUAAGCAUAUCAAUAAGCGGAGGA
rnacentral:misc_RNA from 1 species